UACGAAGGGGGCUAGCGUUGCUCGGAAUCACUGGGCGUAAAGGGUGCGUAGGCGGGUCUUUAAGUCAGGGGUGAAAUCCUGGAGCUCAACUCCAGAACUGCCUUUGAUACUGAGGAUCUUGAGUUCGGGAGAGGUGAGUGGAACUGCGAGUGUAGAGGUGAAAUUCGUAGAUAUUAGCAAGAACACCAGUGGCGAAGGCGGCUCACUGGCCCGAUACUGACGCUGAGGCACGAAAGCGUGGGGAGCAAACAGG
rnacentral:rRNA from 1 species